GCAGUCGCCGCGGUAAUGCGUAGGUGGCAAGCGUUGUCCGGAAUUAUUGGGCGUAAAGGGCUCGCAGGCGGUUUCUUAAGUCUGAUGUGAAAGCCCCCGGCUCAACCGGGGAGGGUCAUUGGAAACUGGGAAACUUGAGUGCAGAAGAGGAGAGUGGAAUUCCACGUGUAGCGGUGAAAUGCGUAGAGAUGCGGAGGAACACCAGUGGCGAAGGCGACUCUCUGGUCUGUAACUGGCGCUGAGGAGCGAAAGCGUGGGGAGCGAACAGGAUUAGAUACCCCAGUAGUCCCUGUCUCUUAUAC
rnacentral:rRNA from 1 species